rnacentral:sRNA from 2 species
CUUCUUGUCAAGGGAACAAAUGUUCACUUGAAGCAUGUCGUAGGGUGUAUGUACCCUUUUUCAUGGAGCUGCCAGAGGAAGAUUGGUUAACCAGCUCUGAGGCUACACGUCGGCUGACCCCGCCGGUUACUCAGCCAACGUGUAACCUGACCAGAGGGUCUCGACGAAUAUCAAAGCCAGCAACUGUGGGCCAGUACCGAAUCCACAACAUUACAGAAUUCAGGGCCUAAGGUUCUUACAAGUCUUACAAAAGUGCGGUGCAGAUGAAGGACUUGAAGACCCAUGUGACGUUGGAGUUCGGCAUGAAGUAGUUGGAAUUUUGAUUCAAAAAGGAACAGGCAUCGAAGCCGAAUCAAUCAAUGGGGCUACUCCAUUGUUGUUUGGAGCCUUAUAUCAUGCCGAGGCGAGAGUACUUCAGACACUCGAACUGAUAUCGUUGAAUCCAUGGAGUAACAUUCCUCGAGAUAGCCAAAGCUCGUCAGGACUUGAUGGGUUAGGGUUAGGGAUCUGGAUCCAGAUGCCCAAUUAGCAGCACCG